rnacentral:rRNA from 1 species
UACGUAGGGUGCGAGCGUUGUCCGGAAUUAUUGGGCGUAAAGAGCUCGUAGGCGGUUUGUCGCGUCUGCUGUGAAAACUGGAGGCUCAACCUCCAGCCUGCAGUGGGUACGGGCAGACUAGAGUGCGGUAGGGGAGAUUGGAAUUCCUGGUGUAGCGGUGGAAUGCGCAGAUAUCAGGAGGAACACCGGUGGCGAAGGCGGGUCGUCUGGGCCGGAUACUGACGCUGAGGAGCGAAAGCGUGGGGAGCAAACAGG